CUAGUCUUAUCGGGGGAUCACUCGGCUCGU
rnacentral:rRNA from 1 species